AGUGAACGCUGGCGGUAGGCCUAACACAUGCAAGUCGAACGGCGGCACAGUAAGAGCUUGCUCUUACGGGUGGCGAGUGGCGGACGGGUGAGGAAUACAUCGGAAUCUACUUUUUCGUGGGGGAUAACGUAGGGAAACUUACGCUAAUACCGCAUACGACCUACGGGUGAAAGCAGGGGAUCUUCGGACCUUGCGCGAUUGAAUGAGCCGAUGUCGGAUUAGCUAGUUGGCGGGGUAAAGGCCCACCAAGGCGACGAUCCGUAGCUGGUCUGAGAGGAUGAUCAGCCACACUGGAACUGAGACACGGUCCAGACUCCUACGGGAGGCAGCAGUGGGGAAUAUUGGACAAUGGGCGCAAGCCUGAUCCAGCCAUACCGCGUGGGUGAAGAAGGCCUUCGGGUUGUAAAGCCCUUUUGUUGGGAAAGAAAAGCAGCAGGUUAAUACCCCGCUGUUCUGACGGUACCCAAAGAAUAAGCACCGGCUAACUUCGCG
rnacentral:rRNA from 1 species